AGAACCGCAUUCCUAAAAUACUUGCCUCAACCAGGAGCAUGGUUUCUGCCCUACAGUUGUCAUCAGGACUCCAGAUGUACCCCUGAAAACACCACUGCCAGCCGUGGGGCUCACCCCCAGCUCAGAAUCAGGCAAAUCACCCCCACCUUGCUCAAUUACACCCUGCCCAGACCAAGGCUCCAUCCUUUUUUGCUUUGUUUUGUUUUAUUCCUCAGUAUUUUAGCAGCUCUCCACAUUUCAGCCUCUAAAAAUGCAAUAAAAGGUGGGUUCUUUGGAAAAGUUUGCUCCAAGCUGUUUAAGGACUGCUGGCUGUGGGAUGCCCGUGCAGGUGCCAGCCGGUGGCUCGGCUGCCCUGGGUCAGGGAGGGGAUGGAGCUGUGCUGGCCGUGUGCUAGAGGGAGGUCUGGCAGCAGGAGCACAGACCAGAAGCAGGGAACACCAGCAGGUAAGACAAAGAGCGCAGUGUUCAGCAGCAGGAGCUGAGCAGGGUACUCAUCCUGCCCGAAGGAAGGCUGCAUCCGCAGGCUGCAUCCUGCUGCUGGCUCCUGCUUUCCUUCCUCUCUGGACACUGACUCAGCACAACCGGCUUUUCAUCACAGGAAAAAACACGAGGUAUCCUUCCUUCCAGGCACCAGAACUGGUUGUUUCAUUGAUCCUUCUUUCCUUCGCUGCCCCAUGCAGCUGGAGCAAUCCGAGGAACAAAAAGAAGGCAUUGGACUUGGCAGCCGUCCUCCACCAGCACCCCUGGCCUUGCCAUUGCCCGGAGCAGCCACAAUCCCAAUCCCAACCCCAGCCACCAGCAUGGGCAUGGGAAUGGACGGAGCCCUGCAAACCCAUAGAGGAAAGGGGAGGCAGAAAUUGGAAUAAAAGGGGCCAGUCAGUGCUUGUCUGGCUGAGCCCUGUGCCUGCUCAAUGCAGUCUGCCCCAUUUUCUUAAUAAAUCCUCUCUCAACUCCUUCUCUAUGCAUUCACAGCCCAUCCCAUGUGUGUGUGCUGCAGGGGCUCACUGCCAGCUCCUGGGCGCACACAAGGGGGGACUGGUGCCAGUCCCCAGGGGCAGCAGGGGCUCAGCACCAACUACAGGGACUGGUACUUUAACUUCCAGCAGCGGGGUGGGAAUGGUGUGUGCCCCCCAAACCAGCUCCUGGGGGACCAGCGUGAGUAUAGGGCUGUGUGCUGGAGGCAGGGGCACUGGGGGGCAAAGGGACUGUGCUGGUGCUCAGGGGACCACGAGUGUGUGUGCUGUGAACCUGGAGAGUGCUGUGUGUGUCCCUGUGCCCAUGGCCUCUUGUCCCUGA
rnacentral:lncRNA from 1 species